GUUAACCUAACCAAGCAUAUCCUAAGCAUGUGUUAACUUUGCUCAGACUAAGACAAGCUUACAGUGAGGUUUAGCUAGACCACAGAAGGUUUUUAUCAAGAAUUACGACUGAUCUCCCAACCCCAUCACAUAAAGACCAACUUGCGGGGUUAACCUGUAUCUGUCUAACCCGAUUUUCAAGACGUGAGGUGGCUAUCUUGAUUUUGGUUUAACUUAUUUCAAUUUAGCUCUGUGAAUAUUCAACACCUGUGACUAUAUGGAAAGUGUAUUGGAGGUUGAAACAAAACCAGCUAUGGAACUGUUAAUAUAUGCUAGUACAGUAUUGAAAGAAUGACCCAGUAUCUUCAUUCUUUCAUCCCUAUACUGUCCAAAUCCCUUCUGCAAGAGUUCACCAGCAUCUCCAUUCUUUCAUCCCUAUACUGUCCAAAUCCCUUCUGCAAGAGUUCACCAGCAUCUCCACUCUUUCAUCCCUAUACUGUCCAAAUCCCUUCUGCAAGAGGUCACCAGCAUCUUCAUUCUUUCAUCCCUAUACUGUCCAAAUCCCUUCUGCAAGAGGUCACCAGCAUCUCCAUUCUUUCAUCCCUAUACUGUCCAAAUCCCUUCUGCAAGAGGUCACCAGCAUCUCCAUUCUUUCAUCCCUAUACUGUCCAAAUCCCUUCUGCAAGAGUUCACCAGCAUCUCCAUUCUUUCAUCCCUAUACUGUCCAAAUCCCUUCUGCAAGAGGUCACCAGCAUCUUCAUUCUUUCAUCCCUAUACUGUCCAAAUCCCUUCUGCAAGAGUUCACCAGCAUCUUCAUUCUUUCAUCCCUAUACUGUCCAAAUCCCUUCUGCAAGAGUCCACCAGCAUCUUCAUUCUUUCAUCCCUAUACUGUCCAAAUCCCUUCUGCAAGAGGUCACCAGCAUCUUCAUUCUAGUGGUGGGAUCUGACAACAAGGAUAUGGAUUGACUCACUAGGAAAAGAGGUAGAGAAAGUUGAAAAGGUGGAAAUUCCAGAGUAGCGAGCGAAUGUUUGUUAGUGGGUCGAGAUUGUGGUAGCUUUUCCUGUGAUAGUGGUGGUGGUGGUUGUAAUUGUGGUUGUUGUUGUUGUUUUGGUAAUUAACUUCUUGUAUAUAUUUUUUUUGUUUUGUUUUGUUUU